AUUGAACGCUGGCGGCAGGCUUAACACAUGCAAGUCGAGCGGUAACAGAGAGUAGCUUGCUACUCUGCUGACGAGCGGCGGACGGGUGAGUAAUGCCUAGGAAUCUGCCUAGUAGUGGGGGAUAACUUGCCGAAAGGUAAGCUAAUACCGCAUACGUCCUACGGGAGAAAGCAGGGGACUCUUCGGAGCCUUGCGCUAUUAGAUGAGCCUAGGUCGGAUUAGUUAGUUGGUGAGGUAAUGGCUCACCAAGACAGCGAUCCGUAACUGGUCUGAGAGGAUGAUCAGUCACACUGGAACUGAGACACGGUCCAGACUCCUACGGGAGGCAGCAGUGGGGAAUAUUGGACAAUGGGGGGAACCCUGAUCCAGCCAUGCCGCGUGUGUGAAGAAGGUCUUCGGAUUGUAAAGCACUUUAAGUUGGGAGGAAGGGCAGUUAACUAAUAUUUGACUGUUUUGACGUUACCGACAGAAUAAGCACCGGCUAACUU
rnacentral:rRNA from 1 species